rnacentral:lncRNA from 13 species
GGGGAAGGGGGAUACCGAGUCAGUUGAAUCAGAGAGUUGUGGAGGGCUGCUCCUUUGCCAGCUCAUCCACAGUUGCUGACAUCAAAUGUACAGAAAUACAGAACAGAUUUACUGUAAAUUAAAUAUAUGUACAUACAAUGACAGAUUCAUGUCCAGGGUAUAUACAGUACAGAUUAAAAUUAUUUGUAUAUACAGUAUAGAUUAAUGUCCAGGGUAUAUACAGUACAGAUUCAUGUCCAGGGUAUAUACAGUACAGAUUCAUGUCCAGGGUAUAUACAGUACAGAUUCAUGUCCAGGGUAUAUACAGUACAGAUUCAUGUCCAGGGUAUAUACAGUUCAGAUUCAUGUCCAGGGUAUAUACAGUUCAGAUUCAUGUCCAGGGUAUAUACAGUACAGAUUAAAAUUCUUUGUAUAUACAGUUCAGAUUAAUGUCAAGGGUAUAUACAGUUCAGAUUCAUGUCCAGGGUAUAUACAGUUCAGAUUCAUGUCCAGGGUAUAUACAGUUCAGAUUCAUGUCCAGGGUAUAUACAGUACAGAUUCAUGUCCAGGGUAUAUACAGUACAGAUUAAAAUUAUUUGUAUAUACAGUAUAGAUUAAUGUCCAGGGUAUAUACAGUACAGAUUCAUGUCCAGGGUAUAUACAGUACAGAUUCAUGUCCAGGGUAUAUACAGUUCAGAUUCAUGUCCAGGGUAUAUACAGUUCAGAUUCAUGUCCAGGGUAUAUACAGUUCAGAUUAAUGUCAAGGGUAUAUACAGUACAUAUUCAUGUCCAGGGUAUAUACAGUUCAGAUUCAUGUCCAGGGUAUAUACAGUUCAGAUUCAUGUCCAGGGUAUAUACAGUUCAGAUUCAUGUCCAGGGUAUAUACAGUACAGAUUCAUGUCCAGGGUAUAUACAGUACAGAUUCAUGUCCAGGGUAUAUAGAGUAACCACACAUUUCGGGGCUACUUUCCUGGUUCACAACGUAAACACUAACCUGAGUGUCUGUUCACUGUAGUUGUUUUAUGAGGUGAGACAGAAGGGNNNNNNNNNNACCACUACAUGAAUAUCCUACCGACAGAGAAGUGAGUGAAUCUUGUUCCAGCACAGAAAUGUGCUUCUGCCUCCUUUUUGAAAGUGCUGUAGCUAGAAACAGGAUUGUGCUGUGAAGUUAUAAUGCUGCUCAGACAGACUGUUUUUUUAAGUGGAUAUAUGAAC